rnacentral:rRNA from 1 species
UACGUAGGGGGCAAGCGUUGUCCGGAAUUAUUGGGCGUAAAGGGCAUGCAGGCGGUCGUGCGCGUAUGAGAUGACAAUGGGUGGCUUACCCACACAAGGUUCUCGUAAACGGCACGACUUGAGAGCGAGAGAGGGAUACGGAACUCCGGGUGGAGCAGUGAAAUGCGUAGAGAUUCGGAAGAACACCAAAGGCGAAGGCAGUAUCCUGGCUCGUCUCUGACGCUCAGAUGCGAAAGCCAGGGGAGCGAACAGG